rnacentral:rRNA from 1 species
ACUCCUACGGGAGGCAGCAGUGGGGAAUCUUGGACAAUGGGCGCAAGCCUGAUCCAGCCAUGCCGCGUGAGUGAUGAAGGCCUUAGGGUCGUAAAGCUCUUUCGCCAGAGAUGAUAAUGACAGUAUCUGGUAAAGAAACCCCGGCUAACUCCGUGCCAGCAGCCGCGGUAAUACGGAGGGGGUUAGCGUUGUUCGGAAUUACUGGGGCGUAAAGCGCACGUAGGCGGAUUAGUUAGUCAGAGGUGAAAUCCCGGGGCUCAACCCCGGAACUGCCUUUGAUACUGCUAGUCUUGAGUUCGAGAGAGGUGAGUGGAAUUCCGAGUGUAGAGGUGAAAUUCGUAGAUAUUCGGAGGAACACCAGUGGCGAAGGCGGCUCACUGGCUCGAUACUGACGCUGAGGUGCGAAAGUGUGGGGAGCAAACAGGAUUAGAUACCCUGGUAGCGACUGA